GAAGGAAGACGAUAUAAAGGCACAGAAGAGAGAACCAUCAAUAGACCAAGGAGGGGGGCCUGUAGAAGAUCCUUCUCUUAACAAGCUCUCAUAAGGAACAAUUCCUGCCAACACACUGAUCUCGGAUUUCUGGACUCCAGAACUAUGAGGAAAAGAAGUAUGAAGGCAGAGCAUUCAUUAGCUAAAAUAUGGAGUUCAGGAUCAUAUUUAUACUCGACAGGCUGCCUCAAUCUGACCUGAAGACAAUCUGACCUGAAGACCAUCUGAUACUGAUGGUUGUGGCACCAUCUAGGUUGAGCAAGCCUCUUCCACUCUCUGCAACAGAAAUUUCUCCAUCCAUAAAAUGAAAGGCUGGGAUUAUAAGUUGCUUUAAAAGUUU